GCGUGAUUGACGGAAUUGGCAUACGUAUCAGCCUUAGAAGUUGAGUUUUGUGGGUUCGACUCCCACAUCACGCA
rnacentral:tRNA from 1 species